rnacentral:rRNA from 1 species
AUACGGAGGGUGCAAGCGUUAUUCGGAAUUACUGGGCGUAAAGCGCACGUAGGCGGCUUCGUAAGUCAGGGGUGAAAUCCCACGGCUCAACCGUGGAACUGCCUUUGAAACUGCAAAGCUUGAAUCCUGGAGAGGGUGGCGGAAUUCCUGGUGUAGGAGUGAAAUCCGUAGAUAUCAGGAGGAACACCGGUGGCGAAGGCGGCCACCUGGACAGGUGUUGACGCUGAGGUGACGAAAGUGUGGGGAGC